UAGGGAAUCUUCGGCAAUGGACGAAAGUCUGACCGAGCAACGCCGCGUGAGUGAAGAAGGUUUUCGGAUCGUAAAACUCUGUUGUUAGAGAAGAACAAUGACGUUAGUAACUGAACGUCCCCUGACGGUAUCUAACCAGAAAGCCACGGCUAACUACGUGCCAGCAGCCGCGGUAAUACGUAGGUGGCAAGCGUUGUCCGGAUUUAUUGGGCGUAAAGCGAGCGCAGGCGGUUUCUUAAGUCUGAUGUGAAAGCCCCCGGCUCAACCGGGGAGGGUCAUUGGAAACUGGGAGACUUGAGUGCAGAAGAGGAGAGUGGAAUUCCGUGUGUAGCGGUGAAAUGCGUAGAUAUAUGGAGGAACACCAGUGGCGAAGGCGGCUCUCUGGUCUGUAACUGACGCUGAGGAUCGAAAGCGUGGGGAGCAAACAGG
rnacentral:rRNA from 1 species